AUGAAAUUAUUUGAGUGAUUAUCUAAUUUAUUCCUCGCUAUGAUUUCAGAAUAUUAAUUUUAAAGUUGUGAUGAUAUGAAGGCGCGGGAGAAAAAACAAGAGAAGGGGAGGAAACAAGAAACGUUAGAAAAGACGACGUGAGAAAAGACGCUGCAAGGGACGCUGCAGAGAAAGAAUCGGAAGACGAAAGAGAGAAGACGCGUUCUGUUUUGUUCUAUUCCUAUUUAAUGUUCUGUUUUCUCACCUAAUAAAGUGAACAAUUUAUAUAUACACUAGGGAGCUACAAAAUUACCAUCCCAAUACUAAUAAAGAGAAAGAAUCGAAGCACGAAGGACCAAAGAGAGAAGACGCAGUCUGUUUUGUUCUAUUCUUAUUUAAUGUUUCGUUUUCUCACCUAAUAAGGUGAACAAUUUAUAUAUACAGAAGAGAGGUAUAAAACUACCAUCCCUACAUUAGUAAACUUUAUGAAAAUAUGAGGGGGCAAUAGAAAAAAAAUGAAGAGGAAGAAGACAAGAAAUGUGAGGAACAACGAUGCGAAAAAAGACGCUAUGAAAGACGCUAUAGAGAAAGAAUCGAAGGACAAAAGGCGAAAGACAGAAAGCAUAGUCUCUUUGUUUCUUCCUUA